AUUGAACGCUGGCGGCGUGCCUAACACAUGCAAGUCGAGCGGUAACAGGCGUAGCAAUACGUGCUGACGAGCGGCGAACGGGUGCGUAAUACAUGGGAAUCUGCCCUCUGGUGGGGAAUAACCCGGCGAAAGCCGGGCUAAUGCCGCAUAAGAUCCUCGGAUGAAAGCGGGGGACCGUAAGGCCUCGCGCCGUUGGAUGAGCCCAUGUCGGAUUAGCUAGUUGGUGGGGUAACGGCCCACCAAGGCGACGAUCCGUAGCUGGUCUGAGAGGACGGCCAGCCACACUGGGACUGAGGCACGGCCCAGACUCCUACGGGAGGCAGCAGUGGGGAAUAUUGGACAAUGGGCGAAAGCCUGAUCCAGCGACGCCGCGUGUGUGAAGAAGGCCUGCGGGUUGUAAAGCACUUUCGAUGGGAACGAAAUGUGCCGGGCUAAUACCCCGGCAAGCUGACGUUACUCAAUGAAGAAGCACCGGCUAACUCUGUGCCAGCACG
rnacentral:rRNA from 1 species